UUCGAUGGUAGGAUAGAGGCCUACCAUGGUAUCAACGGGUAACGGGGAAUUAGGGUUCGACUCCGGAGAGGGAGCCUGAGAAACGGCUACCACAUCCAAGGAAGGCAGCAGGCGCGCAAAUUACCCAAUCCCGACACGGGGAGGUAGUGACAAUAAAUACUGAUACAGGGCUCUUUUGGGUCUUGUAAUUGGAAUGAGUACAAUUUAAAUCCCUUAACGAGGAACAAUUGGAGGGCAAGUCUGGUGCCAGCAGCCGCGGUAAUUCCAGCUCCAAUAGCGUAUAUUGAAGUUGUUGCAGUUAAAAAGCUCGUAGUUGAACCUUGGGCCUGGCUGGCCGGUCCGCCUCACCGCGUGUACUGGUCCGGCCGGGCCUUUCCUUCUGGGGAACCUCAUGCCCUUCACUGGGCGUGUUGGGGAUCCAGGACUUUUACUUUGA
rnacentral:rRNA from 1 species